rnacentral:rRNA from 1 species
GGUAGAAUUCCAGGUGUAGCGGUGAAAUGCGUAGAGAUCUGGAGGAAUACCGGUGGCGAAGGCGGCCCCCUGGACGAAGACUGACGCUCAGGUGCGAAAGCGUGGGGAGCAAACAGGAUUAGAUAUUUUUUUUUUUUUUUUUUUUUUUUUUUUUUUUUUUUUUUUUCUCAACCUGGGGUGUGGCUUCCGGAGCUAACGCGUUAAGUCGACCGCCUGGGGAGUACGGCCGCAAGGUUAAAACUCAAAUGAAUUGACGGGGGCCCGCACAAGCGGUGGAGCAUGUGGUUUAAUUCGAUGCAAC